CAAUCUCCACCUUGCACCAAUGUUUUAAUAACAAUCAGAGGGAAAGCAUUAACAACAUGUUUGGUUGGCAUGAAUAGCCAUUCCAUUCAGGUUAGAUUCAGUGGCCAACAGUAAUUCAAUAGUUUGGUUCAUUGAAUGGGUUAUUCAGUGGAAUCCAUUCCUUCUCUAUUCAUAAAAUUUACCGAAUCAACAUUCGAUAGAAGAAGUUAAGAAUAGCUAUUCAACAUCAACACAGAAUUGAAAAUUUU
rnacentral:lncRNA from 1 species